rnacentral:rRNA from 1 species
AACGUACGCUGGCGGCACGCCUAACACAUGCAAGUCGAACGAAGUAGCAAUACUUAGUGGCAGACGGGUGAGUAACAUGUAGGUAUCUGCCCUUUGGCCUGGAAUAACACGAGGAAACUUGUGCUAAUACCGGAUAAGUCUUUACGGAGAAAGCUUUAUGCACCAUUGGAUGAGCCUGCACUUGAUUAGUUUGUUGGUGGGGUAAUGGCCUACCAAGACUGUGAUCAAUAGCUGAUUUGAGAGGAUGAUCAGCCACAUUGGGACUGAGACACGGCCCAAACUCCUACGGGAGGCAGCAGUGGGGAAUCUUGCACAAUGGAGGAAACUCUGAUGCAGCGAUGCCGCGUGAGUGAAGAAGGCCCUUGGGUUGUAAAGCUCUUUCGUCGGGGAAGAAAAUGACUGUACCCGAAUAAGAAGGUCCGGCUAACUUCGUGCCAGCAGCCGCGGUAAUACGAAGGGACCUAGCGUAGUUCGGAAUUACUGGGCUUAAAGAGUUCGUAGGUGGUUGAAAAAGUUAGUGGUGAAAUCCCAGAGCUUAACUCUGGAACUGCCAUUAAAACUUUUCAGCUAGAGUAUGAUAGAGGAAAGCAGAAUUUCUAGUGUAGAGGUGAAAUUCGUAGAUAUUAGAAAGAAUACCAAUUGCGAAGGCAGCUUUCUGGAUCAUUACUGACACUGAGGAACGAAAGCAUGGGUAGCGAAGAGGAUUAGAUACCCUCGUAGUCCAUGCCGUAAACGAUGUGUGUUAGACGUUGGAAAUUUAUUUUCAGUGUCGCAGGGAAACCGAUAAACACACCGCCUGGGGAGUACGACCGCAAGGUUAAAACUCAAAUGAAUUGACGGGGACCCGCACAAGUAGUGGAGCAUGUGGUUUAAUUCGAAGAUACGCGCAGAACCUUACCAACACUUGACAUGUUCGUCGCGACUCUAAGAGAUUAGAGUUUUCGGUUCGGCCGGACGAAACACAGGUGCUGCAUGGCUGUCGUCAGCUCGUGUCGUGAGAUGUUGGGUUAAGUCCCGCAACGAGCGCAACCCUCACUUUUAGUUGCCAUCAUUUAGUUGGGCACUCUGAAAGAACUGCCAGUGAUAAGCUGGAGGAAGGUGGGGAUGACGUCAAGUCCUCAUGGCCCUUACGUGUUGGGCUACACACGUGCUACAAUGGUAUCUACAACAGGAAGCAAGACUGCGAAGUUAAGCAAAUCCCUAAAAGAUACCUCAGUUCGGAUUGCACUCUGCAACUCGAGUGCAUGAAGCUGGAAUUACUAGUAAUCGUGGAUCAGCGUGCCACGGUGAAUGCGUUCCCGGGUCU